rnacentral:rRNA from 1 species
UGCCAGCAGCCGCGGUAAUACGGAGGGUGCAAGCAUUAAUCGGAUUUAUUGGGCGUAAAGAGUGCGUAGGCGGAGAUGCAAGUCAGAUGUGAAAUCCCAGGGCUUAACCCUGGGGCUGCAUUUGAAACUCCAUUUCUUGAGGUUAGGCGGAGAGAACGGAAUUCCACAAGUAGCGGUGAAAUGCGUAGAUAUGUGGAAGAACACCUGUGGCGAAAGCGGUUCUCUAGCUUAAACCUGACGCUGAGGCACGAAAGCUGGGGGAGCGAACAGGAUUAGAUA